rnacentral:misc_RNA from 1 species
UCUCCGUUGGUGAACCAGCGGAGGGAUCAUUACAGAGUUGCAAAACUCCCAAACCAUUGUGAACGUUACCUAUCCCGUUGCUUCGGCGGGCGGCCCGGGCCCCGCGCCCGGCGCCCCCCGGCCCCCCUUGAGCGCCCGCCGGAGGUAAACCAAACCCUUGAAUUGCAUGGCCUCUCGGAGUCUUCUCUACUGAAUAAGUCAAAACUUUCAACAACGGAUCUCUUGGUUCUG